UCUCUAAAGAGCAUGAGAAGUUGCUGUACUGAAUAAAGCACUAAAAUGGGAGCUACCUGUUCAGAUGAAAGGAAAGUAGUUGGUAAUUCUAACCAAAGAUGAUGAUCUUUGUUCCUUUUUCCUUUCCCAGAGAAGGCCAUUGGUUGUUCCUAAAAGGAUGUAACAGGGAUGUUAUUUCAAAGAACAAGUGCAACUAACCAGAGUGUGAAGAUGAGCAUUGAGCCUGCUCUUCCAUUUGCAGAGAGGAGUUGUCCAGCUGAUUCUAGUUGUGCCUAAUUGAUCAUUGUUGCUUCUUUUUCAGAUGUCAAGAAUUAAGUGGAACUGAUCAUUUCUAUCAAGAGGUAAGGAACGCACCUCCUCAAAGCACGGGGGCAGGACUUAAAGGCUCUGUUUCUAUUUUCAGGGGAAAUGAAGGUCUUACCAUUCAAGGGAGGAUGAUAAGAGGCUGCUGAAUUUAAGAAAAAAAGACAGGUAAGGAUCCCUGGCCAGAGGAAAGAAAAGCUUCUUUUACUUUUACUUCUAGUUCAGAAAAAGGCAAGCAGCCAUUUAUAAGCUUUAGGUUUUAACCAGCGUAGCUGGCUGUACCGCUAAGAAUCAAAGCCUUGCGGUGGAACAUGACUGACAAGUAGGUGAGCACUGAAAGGUCUCUAGAAGCCUAAUGAUUUGGAUGCUAAGGAACCUUCUCCAUUGAUGACUCUUCAAUGCUGGCAAUGAGUAAUAAUAAAUAAAUCUGUCAAACAUUGAUUGCAGGUUUUGCUCUUCUGAGAUAUGAAGAGACCAGGUGGUCAUUCCUACUAAGGAGAAGUGAGGCUCAGUGGCAUGGCUGUCCUGGGCAAGGAGACAAAAAAAGCCACUUCAAAUAGUUCAGCUAGUCGCAAAUCUGAAUCAAGUCAGCAGAACAUCACAGACAUGGAGAUGAGAGAAAUUCAGAUGAGUUGAACAUUGAGGGUGUGAAAACUGGAGGAAGUUGCUAGAAGAUCUGGGAUAUCUACAGAAAGGAAACAAGCAAAACUCAUCCCUGUUACCAAGAGGAGGAGAGAGUUACAGAUGCUCAGGAUUUGAGUACAAAGGAAUAGGAAUGGAGCUGAACAGAUUCAACACCUUAAAGGACGAUUGGAUCUCAAAAUAUGAAAGUCCCUUCAUUCAAUAAAGCAACAGGAUUGGCUCUGAGGAGAGGUAAGCAGCAUUUGGGAAGUCUAAGAAAUGAGCAUAGCAAUUUUGUAGCGCUGAUUGUAACUUAUGUUGUGCCAAAGGGUUUGUUACAGCUGAUCAGACAUCUCAGGAGCUAAGAGGAUGUGAGGGGGAUGGCAGAUGUCAGGGGAUUCGUCUUUAUUAGGAGGUGGUGAACCUGCUUGUCACUUCUGAGUGACAUCAGUGGCUUUGGUUUUGCUUGAUGAAGGAAAGAGCCAGCGUGGACAAUAUUCAAGACACAAUGUUCAAAAGUUGCUGCUGGGAUGGAAGCAAAGAAGAAAGCCCUGGAGACGGGUUAGUGCUGGGACACAGGCACUAUCCUGGAGGGGCCUGGGACAGGGUGUGUAACCAUAGUGACCAGUGGGUUCUUUCCCCACUGUGGUCCUGGCUCGCAUGCACAGGGUGAAACCGAUCGCCAUGUUUGGGGUCAGGAAGGAAUUUUCCUCCAGGGCAGAUUGGCCAGAGACCCUGGAGGUUUUUCGCCUUCCUCUGGGGCAUCGAGCAGGGACCAGCCCUUAGGGCCAUUUAGGAACAGACAUAAUAAAAUCCAUCAGAGAGAA